UACGUAGGGUGCGAGCGUUAAUCGGAAUUACUGGGCGUAAAGCGUGCGCAGGCGGUUCGACAAGUCCGAUGUGAAAGCCCCGGGCUCAACCUGGGAAUGGCAUUGGAAACUGGCGAGCUUGAGUGUGGCAGAGGGGGGUGGAAUUCCGCGUGUAGCAGUGAAAUGCGUAGAGAUGCGGAGGAACACCGAUGGCGAAGGCAGCCCCCUAGGCUGACACUGACGCUCAGGCACGAAAGCGUGGGGAGCAAACAGG
rnacentral:rRNA from 1 species